rnacentral:snRNA from 1 species
AUGUUUGCCUCAGUAGCAUGUGUACUAAAAUUGCAAUGAUAGAGAUUAGCACAGUCCCUGAGCAAGGAUAUCACACAAUUUUUUUUGAAGUUUUCCAUACUUUU